UUUAUAGUUUGUUUUUUUGAUCAGAAUUUAUAAAGUAUACUCUACUGCCCUAUGCAUAAAGGCAAUGAACUAAAACAAUGUGUAAAGAAUCACUUUAGCUCUCUUUUUGAGUUACAAAUACUGUACAAUAUCUGUAACUAGAACACAUACAUGUAUAACCAGAAAAUAAUUUGUUGGCCUCUUGCUUUGUUUCUCCUUCACAUUGUCUUAUUUUAGGUUCAUGUUGAACAUACCGCUCUGUACAAUUCUCAGGCUUUUCCCCAGAGAUCUUUUUUGUUAUGUCUUUGAUGUCACUUGCUAAAGCAGUGCCUGUGUUUUAUGUCACUGAUUUUUUUCCUUUGUACACUUGGUUGGUAGUAGGACUUCUAGAAAUGUGUUGUCAUUAAAAUAAUGGCUGCUUAUACAGCACAAACAGAGCUUCACUGCACUUGCAUACCUUGGUACUUACUCAUCUAGUGAGUAUUAUUAUGUGGUUGGUAUGGUUGGAUUCUGGGCUAGGCCUCUGUGUCACUGUGGUGUUUUAUGGCUUGCCUUCCCUUAGCUCAUCCUGCAGUACAUAAGUAAGAGGGACAAAGAGAGCAGUGAAAUCAAGAUGCUUUAGACUGAGAUGGAGUGAUGCAUUCAUGCUGUGGUCAUGGUGCCCUGACUCCUUGUUGCUGGCCCCUUGGCACUGAGACUGGCUGGAGCGCACUGAGACUUCUUCUCAGCAACAGACUUACAAAUUUGGGCUGGCUAUCAUGGAGUCCCCAGCCAGUAGCCAACCAUAAGCAUGGAUGUGCUUAGUGUCAUUCCUCCCAGCUGUGAAUUCCUGUAAUCUGACAAGGUACAGAAAUGCAGACCCAAACAUUCAGUAUGUAUGGGAAGGUCCUCUGUAUUGUGUAAUUUAGUGAGUUCAAUUCAGACCUGUCAGCAUCUUCAAAUUACCAUAACUAGUGUUUCAUACUGAAGUGACAAAUCACUGCUACAUGUCAAGCUUUGUCUCCCUCUUGUGGACAGUCUGAAUAAUAAAGGUAUUACAGUAUACUGUAAGACAGUAUACUAUAAUACAGAGUAUGCCCUUUAAGAAUAAAUACUGUUUUAUAGCACUAUAUGCAAAUUAUGACAAACACUAUUUUCCAUAUUUGAAUCUUUAUUUUUUUCUAAAUGCAAGAAAUAAUACAGUCAGAUAAUAUUUAUUAUAUUGGCAUUUGAAUCACAAAAUCAGAACCUUCAUUAUUUUAUGUAUUUGUAUUUGUAUUUAGAAAUGUAAAAAAAAUAAAAAGAA